GCCCUAGUAACGGCGAGUGAAGCGGCAACAGCUCAAAUUUGAAAUCUGGCUCUUUUAGAGUCCGAGUUGUAAUUUGCAGAGGGCGCUUUGGCUUUGGCAGCGGUCCAAGUUCCUUGGAACAGGACGUCACAGAGGGUGAGAAUCCCGUACGUGGUCGCUGGCUAUUGCCGUGUAAAGCCCCUUCGACGAGUCGAGUUGUUUGGGAAUGCAGCUCUAAAUGGGAGGUACAUUUCUUCUAAAGCUAAAUAUUGGCCAGAGACCGAUAGCGCACAAGUAGAGUGAUCGAAAGAUGAAAAGCACUUUGGAAAGAGAGUCAAACAGCACGUGAAAUUGUUGAAAGGGAAGCGCUUGCAGCCAGACUUGCUUACAGUUGCUCAUCCGGGUUUCUACCCGGUGCACUCUUCUGUAGGCAGGCCAGCAUCAGUUUGGGCGGUAGGAUAAAGGUCUCUGUCACGUACCUCCUUUCGGGGAGGCCUUAUAGGGGAGACGACAUACUACCAGCCUGGACUGAGGUCCGCGCAUCUGCUAGGAUGCUGGCGUAAUGGCUGUAAGCGGCCCGUCUUGAAACACGGACCAAGGAGUCUAACAUCUAUGCGAGUGUUUGGGUGUCAAGCCCGAGCGCGUAAUGAAAGUGAACGGAGGUGGGAACCCGCAAGGGUGCACCAUCGACCGAUCCUGAUGUCUUCGGAAGGAUUUGAGUAAGAGCAUGGCUGUUGGGACCCGAAAGAUGGUGAACUAUGCUUGAAUAGGGUGAAGCCAGAGGAAACUCUGGUGGAGGCUCGCAGCGGUUCUGACGUGCAAAUCGAUCGUCAAAUUUGGGCAUAGGGGCGAAAGAC
rnacentral:rRNA from 1 species